rnacentral:rRNA from 1 species
UCCUACGGGGGGCAGCAGUGAGGAAUAUUGGUCAAUGGCCGAGAGGCUGAACCAGCCAAGUCGCGUGAGGGAUGACGGCCCUACGGGUUGUAAACCUCUUUUGUCGGGGAGCAAGACCCGCCUCGUGCAGGCGGAGCGAGAGUACCCGAGGAAAAAGCAUCGGCUAACUCCGUGCCAGCAGCCGCGGUAAUACGGAGGAUGCGAGCGUUAUCCGGAUUUAUUGGGUUUAAAGGGUGCGCAGGCGGACCAUCAAGUCAGCGGUAAAAUCGGGGGGCCCGACACACUCCCGCCGUUGAAACUGGCGG